rnacentral:rRNA from 1 species
CGCGGCCUAUCAGCUUGUUGGUGAGGUAAUGGCUCACCAAGACGACGACGGGUAGCCGGCCUGAGAGGGCGACCGGCCACACUGGGACUGAGACACGGCCCAGACUCCUACGGGAGGCAGCAGUGGGGAAUAUUGCACAAUGGGGGAAACCCUGAUGCAGCGACGCAGCGUGCGGGAUGACGGCCUUCGGGUUGUAAACCGCUUUCAGCAGGGAAGAAGCGCAAGUGACGGUACCUGCAGAAGAAGUACCGGCUAACUACGUGCCAGCAGCCGCGGUAAUACGUAGGGUACGAGCGUUGUCCGGAAUUAUUGGGCGUAAAGAGCUCGUAGGUGGUUGGUCACGUCUGCUGUGGAAACGCAACGCUUAACGUUGCGCGUGCAGUGGGUACGGGCUGACUAGAGUGCAGUAGGGGAGUCUGGAAUUCCUGGUGUAGCGGUGAAAUGCGCAGAUAUCAGGAGGAACACCGGUGGCGAAGGCGGGACUCUGGGCUGUAACUGACACUGAGGAGCGAAAGCAUGGGGAGCGAACAGGAUUAGAUACCCUGGUAGUCCAUGCCGUAAACGUUGGGCACUAGGUGUGGGGGGCAUUCCACGUUCUCCGCGCCGUAGCUAACGCAUUAAGUGCCCCGCCUGGGGAGUACA